AUUGAACGCUGGCGGCAUGCUUUACACAUGCAAGUCGAACGGUAACAGGCCGCAAGGUGCUGACGAGUGGCGAACGGGUGAGUAAUGCAUCGGAACGUGCCCAGUCGUGGGGGAUAACGCAGCGAAAGCUGCGCUAAUACCGCAUACGAUCUAUGGAUGAAAGCGGGGGACCGUAAGGCCUCGCGCGAUUGGAGCGGCCGAUGUCAGAUUAGGUAGUUGGUGGGGUAAAGGCUCACCAAGCCGACGAUCUGUAGCUGGUCUGAGAGGACGACCAGCCACACUGGGACUGAGACACGGCCCAGACUCCUACGGGAGGCAGCAGUGGGGAAUUUUGGACAAUGGACGCAGGCCUGAUCCAGCAAUGCCGCGUGCAGGAAGAAGGCCUUCGGGUUGUAAACUGCUUUUGUACGGAACGAAAAGGCUCUGGUUAAUACCUGGGGCUCAUGACGGUACCGUAAGAAUAAGCACCGGCUAACUACGUGCCAGCCGCCGCCGUAAUAC
rnacentral:rRNA from 1 species